AGCGAAGCAUCAUGGGCCGGAAACCAGCCUUUACUUCCCCUUUCCUUCGCUGCAGCCUCAUCCUGAGGAGAACAGCACUGUGUGCAGACGUGCCUCGGGCAUGGCGAAAAGGAGCUGGGAGGCCAGGGGUGCUGGUACCCUGAUCUUGCUGAGUUGGCUUGCAGGUGCCAGCGUGAUAGAGCCGGAGACCUGCAGCUCCCCAGGUGACUUUCCCCCGCCAGUGUUCUUCUCAAACAGCUCUGCAGCUCAGGAAGGCGACUUGAUUUUUGCACGGUGCCUCGUUUUUUCCCACUUCCCCGUUGCCCGCAUCUUCUUCUGCAAGAAUGGGGUGGAGCUGGCAAACCACCCGGUCAGGAAAGAGCAGUUCACCUCCACACUCACCUUCCGGCUCUCCCCAGAGAGCAGCGGCACCUACUCUUGUGGGUACCUGCGCCUGAGCAGCCUUGGUCAAGUCAAGCUUUCAAGGCUGAGUGUCCCGUGGCUCCUGAGUGCCAGAGGCAGGAAGGACGCCCCAAGGAAUGACAGCAUUGCCCCGAGCCCAGAGCUGGCAGCUGAAGGGCUGGGAGUCUCAGGCAGCCUGGCCUUUGUGGUUCUCGCCGUCCUGACUCUGGCUUUAGCUGUCCACCUCCUGCUGCAGAUAGGAAAGCGAGUCCAGCUGGCCAAGCUGAAGGCUUUCAUCUCCUGCUAGAAGGUCACCACAUUUCACAAGCAUUGUGAAGGAAGAAGUCAAGGAGCCUUUGCAGACAGCGGUCCUCUUUGCUGGACCAGAGAAAUACAUUGGGGUGCUCAGGACUGCUGCAUGGGCCACUCUGAUAUCUGCAGUGCCUCACAGCCAUGGCAGGGGGUUGGCCCAAGAUGAUAUCCCUUGGGUCAGUGCCACCUGCACUGUGUAGGCAAUUGGUGAAAUCACCUCUCCAGCCUUUCCAGUGUCCUGAGGACCCAGCUGCUCCAUCUGCAGCCCCAGAGACACAGCACUCAGCCACAAAACACACAGCUCCACUGCUGGAGCCAGCACAGUUUGCUCCAGGCUCCUGGGAGUGGCUGUGAACAUUGCGGUGGCUCAGAAGCAGGAAAGUACAUCCAUUAAAAAG
rnacentral:lncRNA from 1 species